rnacentral:tRNA from 1 species
GCCGCGGUAGCUCAAUUGGUAGAACAUCGCACUUGAAAUGCGAAGGUUGUGGGAUCGUUCCCCACCUGCGGCA